GACGAACCGUGCGAACGUUGUUCGGAAUCACUGGGCUUAAAGGGCGCGUAGGCGGGCUGACAAGUCGGGUGUGAAAGCCCCGGGCUCAACCUGGGAAUUGCAUUCGAGACUGAAUAGCUAGGGUACGGUAGAGGGAAGCGGAAUUUCCGGUGUAGCGGUGAAAUGCGUAGAUAUCAGGAGGAACACCGAUGGCGAAGGCAGGUCUCUGGGCACUUACUGACGCUGAGGAGCGAAAGCGUGGGGAGCGAACAGG
rnacentral:rRNA from 1 species